UAUGUAUAUAUUAUAUUGCUGUACCAAAUGAAGUCAUAAUGCAAACAGAAUGCUCACAGCAGGAAUAGUUAUUCUUGGGCAGAUCUGGACAUGCCCCCCAGCCUCUACAAACAGAGGAAGCCCUCCUCCCCAAAGUUUGUGAAAAGGAGGGAGAGUCUAUUUCCAGCUAUGGAAUCAAGGUCAGAAGCAGAAGUUCCAGUCCUUGCUAGGCCAUUGGCCUUCAGGUAUGAUGCUCAUUUUGUCAUCCUGCGAGGCUCACAGAGACCUAAAGCGUGGAACACAUCUCAACAUGUACUGAAUAAGUUGGAAAAGGGGAGGACCAAACUGGAAGUGUUGGACUGGUUUGCAGGUGACAUGUACCUUUACCAAUUCAUUUCUCUGAGUACUAAUUUUCUCCAGCUAAUGGGGGCAGGAUGUAUUGAUGUCUGAGAAAGCAAAUCCCCCCAUGCUCCAGCCUGCCUUUUGUUCUGUAGGACAAAUGUUUUGCAUAACAAAAGUGUUUUAUGUAUUAACCAGUAUCUAUUUGUAAAAAUAGGAUAUAAUGAAAUGAACAUAUAUCUUGGAAGUAACAGAUCCUAGGUUUAAAUCGAAUCUCUACCAUAGCCUAUGAUCUUAAAAAAUACUUAACUUCUCUGCACCUCAUUUUCUCUUCUUAAAUACAGGGUAACAAUAUUUACCUCAUGGUAUGCUUAAAUGAAAUAAUGCAUGUCACUAGCCUGGUCUGUAUGUAAGGUAGGAAAUAAGUAAUAAAGUCUCUAAAACCUAAGGAUUCUAAGAUGCC
rnacentral:lncRNA from 1 species